CCCUUAGAUGUUCUGGGCCGCACGCGCGCUACACUGAUGCAUUCAACGAGUCCAACCUUGACCGAGAGGUCCGGGUAAUCUUUGAAACUGCAUCGUGAUGGGGCUAGAUUAUUGCAAUUAUUAAUCUUCAACGAGGAAUGCCUAGUAAGCGUGAUUCAUCAAAUCGCGUUGAUUACGUCCCUGCCCUUUGUACACACCGUCCGUCGCUCCUACCGAUUGAGUGUGUUGGUGAGGAGUUUGGAUUGGCCUCGGAAGGUGGUUCGCCACCGUCCGUAGCUGAGAAGUUCUCCAAACCGCCCCACUUAGAGGAAGGAGAAGUCGUAACA
rnacentral:rRNA from 1 species